UACAGAGACUGCAAGCGUUAUUCGGAUUCACUGGGCGUAAAGGGUGCGCGGGCGGCCAAGUGUGUUAGGCGUGAAAGCCCGGGGCUUAACCCCGGAAUUGCACCUAAAACUACUUGGCUAGAGCAUUGGAGAGGGUAGCGGAAUUCACGGUGUAGCAGUGAAAUGCGUAGAUAUCGUGAGGAACACCAGAGGCGAAGGCGGCUACCUGGACUGGUCCUGACACUCAUGAGCGAAAGCGUGGGGAGCGAUCCGG
rnacentral:rRNA from 1 species